UGGAUACUUCAAGAAAAAUGGAUGAAAGUCGAUAUAGCAUAAAUUAUCAUCUAUAUAUACUGAAUAAUCCAGUCAUAAAUUAUUAUUAUAAUUAUUAAAUAGCAAAAGAGAAAAGAAAAAUAGGAGAAGGUAACUCAAACCCCAACAAUUACCUGGCUCUAGCUAACUCAUGAAGCUCUUUAAUGGACCUUCGAAAUUCAAUAACACACACACACUAUAACUACUCGAUGAUGUAGUAAAAAAGUCAUUUAGCGGCUGCUCUAGCGUUUUGUUCCUUUUUUAGUUCGACCUUGAUCUUUUUCUGACACAUUUGUGCCACCGCUGUCACCAACAUCAUCACCUCCUUCCCUACUUCCUUUGAUGUUGGAUCUUUCCUUCACGGUUCCGGUUUAGCUUUUCAUUUUGUUUACAUAUGAAAAACUGUGAAUGCUCUAGACUAAUAUCAGCUUUGGAAUAGCUAUUCAAAAGAAGAUAAAUCUAAUAGAUCCCCUUU